UGCAAAAGCUGUUGCAAAAUUUG
rnacentral:snRNA from 1 species